GACAGGUUCUUGGUAAGAAAGAUGUUAAACUGAGAUCCCUGUUGUGGUCAUAAUGAUUCCAUUGCACGAUCUGAAGAAAGACAACAAAAUCCACAUGUUGAUCAGUAUGAAUACCAACAGGAGCUGGAGAUCCUUGAGCACAGUCUUUGGCAAUUAGGAGAUGGUUUACUUAUAGAUCUGGUGAUAUACUGAUCUUCAGAAACAACCAUACAAUCCAACUCAACUGGAUCUAAUCUAAUGAAAUACAGGAGCUCACCGAGCCCUUGACUUCAUGAACUGACGGAGUCUGCGCUGCUGGAAUGAUGACCAUGACAACGGAGAGACCAACCACUCACUGGCUUCUUGAAGGCCCGACCCAAACACCAAUUGGAGAUCCUACCCAUCUGGACCUCAUGAAGAAUUGAGAGACUGCAGUGUGCUCUGAUUUACAGAGACAUGGCUCACUCCUGCUUCAACUGACAAUGCCUGACAACCUGACAGCUUCUCAAUCCAUGGCAUUUUCUGGCAAGACAAAGGGUUGAGGGAUCUGCCUCCUAAUCAAUACCCCUUAGGUGCAAGGACAUGAAGACUCUGGUAAGUUACUGCUCCCUGGACCUAGAAUAUCUCACACUGACAUAUUGUACUGACUACCUGCUGUGACAGUUCACUUCUGCUGUCUUAACAGCAAUUUACAUCCCAUCCAUGUGGAAGUGAAGGAUGUUGUUGAUUAAAUAUUCAUCGCCAGAAACAGCCUCGGGAAGGAAUACUCUGAGACCUUGAUUAUCAUAUAGCUAGUGACUUCAAACAGGUCAACUACAAGAAUGUGCUAAGAAGAUACCAUCAACAUAUCUUCCAUCCUAGC